UACUCGCCAGUAUAGGCGACGCGGGAACUA
rnacentral:sRNA from 1 species